AAUGAUUUUAAAGUUUAGAAAAAUAUAUGGAACCACUUAUUGAAAAUGGAUGUGAAUACUAGUACGUCAAAAAUAAUGACAUCAUCAUUGCAUGCAAGUGAAAAUUUUAAAGAAUAAUAACCGUAUACUUUGAAUAAUUAUGUGUUUGUUUUAAUACAUUUAGGCCAAUAUAGAUGAAAUAUCAAAACUUUCAGAGACCCAUACAUUAUUAAAACGUUUAGUUUGUUUACAGGCUCCAGUAACUGGUCAGUAUAUGGUCAGUCAACUUUUUGCACUCAUUUUCCACAAUCGCAAAUUGAUGACUCACAACCGGUGUUGAAAAUGAAGGGAGCAAAAUCAGUAUAGAACUUAAAUAUAUUUGUUGGAGAUAAUAUGAUUCAAUACUUGGAAAUGGUUCAGUGUUAUAUUGAUAGAAAUACAAGUGGCACGGCAAUCCUAGUCAGAGCUCUGGACAGAUUUUAUAAAAGGUUUAUGUAAUUGGAAAAUUGAUUUCCUACCAAGAUUUUACAUUGUAUAAAAAACCAGCCAACGGCGCCGUAUGAAUAUCAGGCAGCCCAGCAGCCCACGCCGUACCAGCCAUCACCCGCCAUAUACCAAUUUCAACCAAUGUACAACCCACCAGGCAUGUACAACAUACUCCCUAUGUGUAACCCGCUGUCUAUGGAAAACUCACCAGCCUCGUACCACCCACCCACCAAGUCGUACUAUCCAUCUGCCACCACGUAUAACACACUAACCAUAUCCCGGCGAAAUUCCAGCAGCCCAGAAAAGUACCAAGUAACCAAUACUAAAAAAUAAAAAUCAAUAGGCAAGGGGAGCCACUCGAAAUUCGGCCACCAAGGAUCCGAAAAAGAAAUCCAUUUAUGACACCGAGUUAUAAACCAAAAACGAUAAGGGAAGCCCAAAAGUAAUUUAUUUAAUAAUAAAAACUCGACUUUUUAUUUAUAUGAAACCUAGUUUCAAAGAAAAUAGGAACAACAUUUUAGUUUCGUAUCUUACUUGCAAGUGUACCUACGUCCUACACUUAUACAUUCAUUAUUAUUUCAAUGUAAAAGUUCUUAUGGCUUCUGAAACACACAUCUAAAAUGUAAAUACUUAUUAAUUAUGUAUUAUAUUAAAUGGAUACAGCAAACGGUACAGUUGGGAAGUCCAGGUACAAUGGUCGCUUAACCAAGGCAACACCUUGGAAGAAAUUAAUACAUCAUUACUAAAUAUGCCGAAAGACUAUGCUCUAGGACAUUGUGUGGCCAAAUAUAUAUGUGAGCAUUUACAACAGAGUUGGCGACCUCAUGGACCAAAGACAAAAUGUUGGCAGCGUAGCAUAUUUGCAAGAAAACGAUCAAUUUAUUUGCUAUUUAAUUACCAAGGAGCUUAGCAAACAAUAACCUACAUAUAAUAGUAUAACUGCGGCUAUUACAAAAUUAUGUGAUCUUAUUGUAGAACAUGGUGUAAAAAAACUAGCUAACACGCGUAUUGGUUGUGGUCUAGACAAAUUAGAUUGGGGGUAAUAGUUAGAGGUAUUAUCGAGGAUUUGUUUCAGAACGUCGGAUGUUCGAUCAAAAAUCUAUCAUUAGAGUUACAAAUGCUUCGAAUCAACAUCCAUCUGUUGUAAGACGUUAUGAAAAUAUUAAAGACAUAGGGAGGCGAUAAUUUGAAAAAUUAAACAUUUUAUUAUAUUCUCGGAAAACUACCACACUACCAGUAUAUUGGGAUGAACAUUUUCAGGCGGUUGAUGAUAAAUACUGCUUCAAAUCACGAUACAAUAAAGACUGUCAGGUGGAUCAUGAAGUUUGUAUUUGUUAUCAUUAUACAAACAAAAAAUCAACAGACCAUUUUUCAUAUCAAAAAUUUGUUAAAAAGGACUUAUAAAAAUUUAAAUGAUAUUAAAGCCGAUUUUUAUGUUUCGGUCGCGACUAGAAAUGAAAUGAAAACCGUUUUUAUAGCUCUCAUGAUCUAUACAAGCAAUAGUAGUCCCAUUGGCUUUCUGUGUAUUAUACUAUCUGAAAUUCUGCACCUAUAGUAACAGGUUGCACUGUUGUAGGUACCUACUAAAAUAGUAAAAUCCUAGGUACACCAUUGACAAUAGGUAGUACAAAAUACUAGAUUAUAGUUUUAGUUUAUACACUGUCCUAAAGUAGUCAGUAGAGAAUCAUUAUCACUUAUUAGUUGUAUAUAAAUAUUAGGUAGUACCUAAUAUUAUUUUAAACCUAGUUGCAAAAGUAUUAAAAUGUAGGUUUAUAUAUGUAGACUAUUUAAUUCAUGUUUUUAUUAGUAUAUCUAUUUAAUUGUAGUAGUAAAGCUAUUGAAAUUGUUUCUAAUAAUUUGUCCGAAAUUACAAUUCAUGAAAUUUUAGUAAUUGUU